AACGAACGCUGGCGGCAUGCCUAACACAUGCAAGUCGAACGAGACCUUCGGGUCUAGUGGCGCACGGGUGCGUAACGCGUGGGAACCUGCCCUUAGGUUCGGAAUAACUCCCCGAAAGGGGUGCUAAUACCGGAUAAUGUCUUCGGACCAAAGAUUUAUCGCCUUUGGAUGGGCCCGCGUUGGAUUAGCUAGUUGGUAGGGUAAAAGCCUACCAAGGCGACGAUCCAUAGCUGGUCUGAGAGGAUGAUCAGCCACACUGGGACUGAGACACGGCCCAGACCCCUACCGGAGGCAGGCAGGGGGGAUAAUGGACAAAUGGGGGAAGGCUGAACCAGCCAAGGCCGGGGAAUUAAGAAGGGCCUUAGGUUGUAAAGCCUCUUUACCCGGGAAGAUAAUGAAAGGACCCGGAGAAUAAGCUCCGGCUAACUCCGUG
rnacentral:rRNA from 1 species